rnacentral:rRNA from 1 species
AUUAAUCCGAUGCAACGCGAAGAACCUUACCAAGGCUUGACAUACACCGGUAACGCCCAGAGAUGGGUGCCCCUUUGUGGUCGGUGUACAGGUGGUGCAUGGUUGUCGUCAGCUCGUGUCGUGAGAUGUUGGGUUAAGUCCCGCAACGAGCGCAACCCUCGUCCUAUGUUGCCAGCGGGUCAUGCCGGGGACUCAUGGGAGACUGCCGGGGUCAACUCGGAGGAAGGUGGGAUGACGUCAAAUCAUCAUCGCCCUUAUGUCUUGGGCUUCACGCAUGCUACAAUGGCCGGUACAAAGGGCUGCGAUACCGCGAGGUGGAGCGAAUCCCAGAAAGCCGGUCUCAGUUCGGAUUGGGGUCUGCAACUCGACCCCAUGAAGUCGGAGUCGCUAGUAAUCGCAGAUCAGCAACGCUGCGGUGAAUACGUUCCCGGGCCUU